rnacentral:rRNA from 2 species
UUGAAGCGGCAAAAGCUCUAAUUUCAAAUCCCCCGGUAACUGUAGUUUGAAUAGAUUUUGGUCCGGCCGGCUGGUGAUUAAGUCCACUGUCAAAGUGGCGCCGCAAAGGGUGACAGCCCCGUGAACCCCUUCCACUCCCUCAUCCCACAUCUUUCACAGUCGAGUUUUUCGGAAAUGCAGCUCUGAUUGGGUGGUAAAUUCCAUCUAAGGCUAAAUACCGGCCAGAGACCGAUAUCUGAACAAGUACCGUGAUGGAAAGAUGAAAAGCACUUUGAAAAGAAAGUGAAAUAUUACGUGAAAUUGUUGAAAGGGAAGGGCUUGCAACAGACACUUAACUGGGCCAGCAUCGGGGCGGCUUUAAACGAAACCACCGGGGAAUGUACCUUUCCAGGAUUAUAACCCCGGUCGCCAUUUCCUUAUCGCCCCGAGGCCUGCAUUCUAAGGAUGCUGGCGUAUUGGUUGCUGGUCGCCCUGUCU